CGCGGCUCGACUUUAUAUAUAUCCACACAAGUGACAAUGGUCAAGAGUCAAGACCACACCACUUCCACACAUCUUUCCUCUCUUCCUUUCCUUCCUUAAUUCCUCACUUUCUGCAGCUGGUGUUUGUGUGAGUGAUGGGUGAAUUGCCUCCAAACCUGAAACAAUGGAUGAGAUUCAGUCCCUCGGACGAGAAGGUCAUGGAUUUCUUGAGGUCCAAAAUCACUGGGAAUGAUCGUGAAGUUGACUUCAUUUACGAAGCCCAGAAUUGCGGAUGGGAACCCUGGGAUUUGAGAAAUUUGUGCCUAUUCUGGUGGUAUAUAUGCGGCAUAAAGCUGGAUUAUCCAGAGUGGUGGCUCUUCUUGCCACAGGAUCGGAAUGGGAAGCGAUCAAAAAGGUCAACCAAUGCUGGAUUCUGGAAAGUGACGGGUCAGCCAAAGAAAAUCAUGUCGGACUCAGGAUUGAUCGGCAAGAAAAACUUUCUGGUAUUCUAUACAGGGACUCGUCCAGGCAAUAUAACCCAUUGGGUAAUGCACGAGUACUGCACAACCCUGAAGGAACUCGAUGGCACCCUCCCCGGUCAGGUUAGUUUCUGGUUUUUGGUCUCUAGUUUGUUUUUUUCUUUUUUUUAAAAAAAACACUAGUUGUAGAUCUGCAUUGAGGAGUAAAGGAAGGGUUUAAUUAGUGUACAUGCAUGGACCCUUAUCAGAUGUAAAAAUACUGGGUAAAAAUACUGUUCAUAUCAGAUGUAUGUAUACAAAUUAUUUUGCAUAACCAAGAAGAUGGGUGGAGAGGCUGAGCAGGACAGUGAAUUGGUUCAAUGACAAAAGGGGUCGAGUUCAUAAUCCCUGACAAUGGUGCGUGGGGAAGGGCUGUCGUCCACCAAUAUUUCAUUCCAUCUGAGGGAUUCCAGAAUCUAGGCGGCAAUGAAGUACCUGAUUGAGUCAAGCGCAGCUGCACCAAGGCCUUUAUAUCAUUAGGCCCAUCUGAGGGUCCCAUGCAAAGUAGCCGAGGCGGCAGGAGAAGUGGACGUGGAGGAGGGAGGAUGCAGGGGUUAUGGUGGGAGUUGUUACAAGCGUGGUGAAAUUGUGAGGGACUGUUAUAAUAAGAGCGGACGCCGUUUUGGGAAAUUGGAUUGGCUUGAUCUCUUAUAGAAAAAUUAAUCUAGGAGCUGCACCAAGGCCCUUGAUAUCAUUAGGCCCAUCUGAGGGUCCUAUGCAAACUAGCCGAGGCGGCAGGAGAAGUGGACGUGGAGGAGGGAGGAUGCCAGGGGUUAUGGUGGGAGUUGUUACAAGUGUGGUGAAAUUGUGAGGGACUGUUAUAAUAAGAGCGGAUGCCGCUUUAGGAAAUUGGAUUGGCUUGAUCUCUUAUAUAAAAAUUAAUGUAGGAGGUUAAGACAAUUUAAUAACUUAAAUAUAAUUUCAAGUUUUCAAUAAAUUGUAUAUAUU